UGGCCUGUUGAGUAUGAUUUUAGGUYUGGCCUGCCCACUGAGUUUUUGAAUGGCCGCGGUAUAUUGACCGUGCAAAGGUAGCAUAGUAAUUAGUUUUUUAAUUAAAAGCUUGAAUGAAAGGUUAGAUGAAAAAAUGACUGUCUCUAGGAGAAUUUAAUUGAAUUUUAUUUUUAAGUAAAAAAGCUUAAAUUUUUGUUAAAGACGAGAAGACCCUAUAGAGUUUAAUAAAUUUAAAAUGUUCAAAGUGUGAGGUAAAAGUUAAAGUUGGGAUUUAAAGUUUAUUUUAUUGGGGUGAUAGGAAAAUUAGAAGAACUUUUCCUUAUUUUAAAUAUAAAUAAAUAUAUGAGUGAUCCUUGCAAUGAGAUUAAAAGAAUAAAUUACCUUAGGGAUAACAGCGUGAUUUUUUUUAGAGUUCUAAUCGAAGAAAGAGUUUACGACCUCGAUGUUGGAUUAAAAUUUAUUGUUGGUGUAGUGGCUAAUAAAAUUARGUCUGUUCGACCUUUAAAAUUUUACAUGAUCUGAGUUUA
rnacentral:rRNA from 1 species